CUGGUCAUUUGCUCUGUCCUUCUCCCCCUCGCCUUCCUCCUCGGUCUUCACCGCAACGGGCAUGGAUCAGAGGAACGCGCAGCCGUCAUCAUCAGCACCAUGAGAUUUCCCGCACCAAGUUUUGAGCUUUGUUUUCUUUCUCCUCAGCUUGCUGCAUUUUUUGCUACCGCAGAGUUUGCGAAUUUUCUGAUGAAUUUUUGUGUUGUAUUUAGGAGGUAGGUCUCAGGAAGCACAUGCAUCUGGAUGGUCAGAUUCACACGCUUCUCACCUACUCAUUUGUUCCAUGAACAAGCCCUCGACUUAGGGCAUCUAAAAUUGCAGCUUUCUUGUGUGGCGAUUAGUCUAUAUCAUCCUUAUUUGUUUACAAAGCCAUGCAAUUUAGUUAUCUAUUUAUCUGUUACAAUCAAUUGGCUCAUUUACCAAUCUUCUCAUGGCGCUUUAUUCAAUCAUGUGUGCGUGCGUGUGCGCGUGCGCGCAUGUGUGUGUGUAGGAUGUUAAUCGGUACCUUGGUUUUGAAUUUCAAAGUUGAAGCGAUUAUUAUGCCCAAUCCCAAAUGAACAUUAUUGUUUCUCUGAACUUGAUCUUCUCAAAUGGACACGUCAGGUCAUCUCUCCUUACUAAAGGGGUUAGUUGCAUAAGCAUACAUGAUUCUAUGAGCAAAUUAUCUUCACUGAUCUAUUUUAGAGAGAUGUCUGAUUAGCUGCAGAAGCAUACAUGGUUCCGUAGGUAAUUUGUUUACCCUGAUCAUCUUGCUAUCCAGUUCUGUUGGUAUGGUCUGAAACAGAUUCACAAGUAUUUAUGAUGAUCGUUUGCAUGGUGGGUCGUGCUAGCAAUGUGCUUUGCGUAUACAUGAUUCAAAUAUUUGUUAGGUGUUUUAGUUUACACAUUUCUCCUGAAAAUCUGUAUAUGUGUAUGCAGUCAUUUUUUAAUUGGCUUAGUUUACACAUUUCUCUUGAGAAUCUUCAUAUCGAACUGUAAUAGUAUGUAUAAUAUAGGUUCGUAUUUUUCCAUUACUUCUUGCCCAGGUCUUCUAUUUCUGUACCAUACUGUUCUCGUGUCAUUCCCGUUAGUUCUUAUAGGGCCUGCAGAUCAGCUCAGUUUAUAUAUAUAUAUAUAUAUAUAUAUGCUUUUACUCCUGAAGACAAUUUAAUGAUGUUCAUUCUUCUUCAUUCUUCCAGUUUACGAAAAUCUCUGCCUUAUAGGGCCGGUUCAUAUUGGCAUGGAGGAGGCACAGAGGUUUAUUUGGCUGGCCUUGAGGGGGAGACCAAAGCAAAACUUCAACAUGUUCAAGGUUAAUCAAUGUAUAGGACUGCACUUUUGUGUGUCCUUUCCUUCAAGCUGUCAUUCAAUAGAAGAGAGGAGCGAGGCCUCGAUCCAAACUCAGGAGGAGACGAGGAGCAACACCUAUUUUUAUUGUCCGUCAAGCGCUAUUAUACUUUGCGGUUCCAGCCACCUGAUCACUAACCUGAACGAGUAAGUAGACCAUUUUAUAUGAUGGUCUUGCUUCCUUUUGUGAUCAUGUAUCUAUGUUAGAUCCGGUGAAAAAAGGCGGCUUCCAAGCAGAGGAUGCGGCAGUGUUGGCCACGUUUGGUUUUCAUAAGCUAAUAAUGUAUCCCUUCCUAUCUACUUCCUACGUGUACCACAUUGUAACUAAGCAUCUAUGUACCAGUAGUAAAGACUUGAGUGUCUGAAUAUUCUCACAAUAGUUGUCUCCCUCUC